rnacentral:lncRNA from 1 species
AAUUAUCAUAUUAAGCUUGAUUAGAGUGGUCAUGAAGAAAGGCGAGCUACAGCAAGUACGUGCGACGGGCCAACCAGGGCUCUUUGAUGACUUUCCUUCUUUCUUUUCGCGGCAUCGGUGCUGGAGAUCGCACAGAUACUACGUCGUCCCGUUAAUCUCAGGUAAUUAAAAAAUAUCCCCAAAAAUAUCCUAAAAAAUGCAGUUGCCGUGACAAGAAAUAAUCAAGACACAAAUAUGUAAAAGAUGUUCAAUCAUUUUACUAGAAGUAAAAGAAAAUAUAUUAUUUUAGAUUACGAAAAAAGAAUCCGAUAUUACUACACCCAUGAAAAAAUUGGCAGGACACCGCCUUUUAUUUUACAUAAACUGGUAAAAUAUCAUAUGCAGUAGUCUUCUAUCAAGAGAAUUGAGAGAUUUAAAGUAAAGUUGUAUCCUAAUAAAAUGUAGUUGCAGUGACAAGCAAUAAUCAAGACACAAAUAUGUAAAAGGUGUUCAAUCAAUGUACUGGAAAAGAGAGCGUAUGAUUUUUCACUACGUUAAGAAGAAUCCAACAACACUUUAAUCAUGAAAGAUUUAAGAAGACACUGUUUAACGUGCUCCGUUCUCACACUGGAAGGAAACCAUGUACUAUAAUAUUAUAUCAAAUUAAUUCAA